AAAAACAAAUUUUUUACCCGUUGAAGAUUUCUCUUGGGUAUCACUUAAUGUAGCUUUCCCUUUUUUCUUCAAAUCUCUCUGAUUUUCCUUAUUAAAUCCUCCUCCGUUGAACUCGCCUCCAGACCUGUUAACAAUUGAAAUCGUGAUCCCAUAAUUUUCUCCCCUUUAGAAUUAUUUCCUUUUUUGAUCUCAUCCAAGGUGCCGCGUCUGCUCCUCCGCUCCACCAGCAUCCAGGGGCCAUAAUCCCCAUCUCCGACCACCACAGAAGUUGAAAAGUUUUGUUCCAAAGUCUCUCCCUUCUCUUUCAUCUCUGAAGAAUGUGUAAAAGACGGACAGUUCUCCUUGAUGUGUCCAUAACAACCACACUUAAAGCAUACCACAGAGCCGUGAUUCCAAGGUUCCGACCAAGCAUCUUGAGAACUACAGAGGUUGACAUUUCCUUUUCCAAGAGCUGAUAUACUCUCUCCGAGAAAUCUAUUGAAGGAACACCAUCGAUAACCAAUUUCUUUACAUCCUGCUCAGUGAGGGAAAAAUUAUCAACAAGGAAGUGGCCAUUAUUUGUAUUAUUCUGCACAAGAGUAUCCUUCCCCGCUAGUAUAUCUUUUCAAGAAAAAGAAGGCGUUGGUGAUGACUCCAUGACCAUUACAUCUUCAAGAAUCACAUCCGAGUCCUUGAAACAGACCUUCUUUGUGUUGGAAUCCUCCACAACCAUCACAUCUUCAAGAUUCACGUUCGAUUCCUUGAAACAGACCUUCUGUGUGAUGGAAUCCUCAGGAAGAGAAUCACCUUCUCCAUUAUUGUCCACAUUAGAAACCGAAGAAGACGAGAGCAUUUUCAGAAUUGCCCUCAAUGGAAUUUAACACCCAAGUGAGCCAUUAAAGAUGAAAAUUUAAUCAUUAAUCCCCUUCGUUAAUGUUGACCGAGUUUGACCAUUAAAUUUUGUUGACAUGGAUGUUCGAUUAAUUAAACAGUGACACAUGACGGUCAUAUGUACAUCAUGUUGAUAUGAUAAAAUAAAUAUUUAAAAAAUAAAAAAUCCAAAAAAAAAUAUUGUUUAAAAUAAUUAUUUAAACAUAUUUUAAAUCAAUGAAGCCCUUUUUUUUGGUUCGAUGCUGCCAUUGUUGUAGCUUUGGUUGCAAAGAGAGUGACAAUGUUGAGAACUGAGGAAAAAAAUAAGAUUUUUAUUUUGGAUUUUUAAAAGAAAAAUUGGGAUAUUAAAAUAUGAUUAAUCCACGUCAGCCGAUUUGCCAUUUCAGCAUCGAUGUGUGCGCCACUUGUCCUUUCCUGAUUCCACCGUUAGCCAAAAACACAAUUAAACGGUCAAACAAAGUCAACGUAUAUGAACGGCUUGGUUGUGAAUUGUGAUGAAUUUCCAAUUCCAUUGAGUGCUAAAAUUUGUGAAGGAUUAAUUGAGAGUUUUUUUAUUAAUAAACAUGUAAUUUAUUUUAAUUAUGAAAAAUAUUUAUAUAAUUUUUU